ensembl:lncRNA
UAUCACCACUCUAUUACUGGCACAGUAAUGUCUUCCUACAUAUUCUCACCACUGAAAGUUUGCAUAACAUAAAAGCAUGCAAAUAGAGACGCAUGCAGCUGGAGUCCACUGCUGUUCUGUGGCCCUCACUUCCUAAAAUAGCACUCCUAAUAUAAGCCUACUUUAACAUUUAAAAUUCAAAUUCAGUUAUGAGCGUCAGCCUCAACAGAUCUGAGUGUAAUGUAAUGUAUAUGAUUUCACGCCUGCAGCAUUCGUCCAUUGGAUUCCAUUCCCAUGUUCUGCAUUCAGGAUCCUUUACAAACCACUUUUCAUCCUCCACACACACACAGUGGGUUCAAGUGCUGACAGGGAGAAUAUGUCAAAAACGCUGCGUCAAAGACACUUUCCGCUUUGGACAUGGAGAAAAAGAGGGACAGCAGAAGAGGACCUGACAGAAGACUCUGCUCUGACACAAGUCACUGCUUCACUUUCUGAAUCCUAGGCAGUAUUCUUACACAAAGCUGUCUGACAGCUCAGGAGUAAAACAGCCACUUUAUUUUUACAUAAUGAUUCCAGAGGACUUGUACAAGUUUUAUUGUGCUUUUUGUCAUUUUUUUUAAGCUUGACAGUAUAAACCAACAUUGACUUGUAUGGACAGAAGAAGCUCAGACAUUCUGCCAGAUGUCUCCUUUUGCAUUUCACAGAAGCCAGAAAAAAAAAAGGAAGUUAAGUUAAUUACAAUGUUUUCAUUUUUUGGUUGAACUUUAGUUACAUUAUGAUCUAGAGGAGACAUGAACUAUAAACACUGUGCUUUUGAGACAGACACCCUACCACUUAAGGAACUGCUCGAGCAAAAAAGCACCAGCUAAAACAUCAAAUUAGCAAUUAAUAAUGUUGCAGAUGAUCAGAAGAACAUUUACAGGUAGAUGUUCUUUUCUGUUUUCUCAAUUGAAGAAAUGGGUAUGGAAUUUGAGCAUUAAAAAUUACAUCUUACUCACACGGCAUGAUAUUUAAUGCUCAGUGUAACCUUGUUGCAUCCAAUUCAAGCCGUUUUAUAUCUUUUCAAAAUAAAAGAAAACCUAUCCAGAUUCA